rnacentral:tRNA from 1 species
GGUCCCCUAGUCUAAAGGUAAAGGAACUUUAGUUCCUUGGACACACGGCCUUUCAAGCCGGAAAUGCAGGGUUCAAGUCCCGUGGGGAUCA